GUCAAAACGGUGGAUACCCCACGAGCGAAUAAUAGAGGAGUUUUAGAUUGGGCGUCCCGCAACACUUCUUCUCCCUCCCCAAUUCCUCUCCACGAUUUCCUGUAUCUAACCCCUCCCUACCGAUGUGCUCGAUCUUCAUCUUUACCGGCCUCAUUCUGGGAGCUCUUCCCUGGCCGAGAUCCCGCGCGAGGAGGCGGAGGAUGAACCCGCAACGCGGAUUAGUAGGAGGAUGGGAGGCGCGAUAGCGACCGAGGCGACUAGGGUUGCGCCGGGAGUCGCGCAUACGAGCAGAACGACGUCGAGGCAGUGGGGAAUCAGUGGAGCCUGGGUGCCGCGCUGGGAGUAGCAGCGUGCGGGGAGUUCAGGACUAGCCAGACCACCUACUCCUCCCGGUCCUUUAUUUUAUGCGUGGUUAGCUGUUCGGGUCAGGUCUGCGAGGGAUCCGGGGGAUCCGGUGCAAGCCGACGACGCCCGCCGAUCCUGGACGGCGUUGUUCCUCGCGUCCUUCGGAUGGGCUUGGGGAGGAUGUGCUGCGGCGGAGGCAGGUUCAUGUGGACACGCUCUGGAUCGGCAGCAGCAUGAGCUGCUAUGCUGUGUGUUGAGGAAUCGGCGAGCCGCAGCCGGCCCUAGGGAGGACGGAGAAAGGUCAAUAUUUGGCCAGGAUAAAUUUCAAAAGCUAUGCAGCUUGGUGCUGCCCGGAGAAAUUCUGAUUGUUGUUAAAGAUUACUGGUUUGGCAGCGAAGAAGGAAAUAGAAUAUAUCCAUCGACAGUAAGGAAUGAAGUGUUCAGGUUGCUACAUUGAGAUUGUGCCUGUACUACAGGAUGCCAGUCCGUGAGCUCGCCUGCCUGGUUCAAAAAAGGUGUUUCCGCGAAGACCAGGAUGUAUUCCUAGAGUUAUGAAAUGUGCAGCCAAGUUAAGAAGCAUAUUAUGAGGCAUAUUUUCUGUAUCUUAAUUUCCUAUUCAUGUGCUCCAGAUCUGCAUAUUUGGCUGUAGUGUUUUUUCUGGCUUGCUAAAAUGGUUGAUGUUCCAUCUGGUUUGCUGCUGUUUCUUGCAGUUUGGGCAUGGGCUCAAUGAGGAGAAGAAUUGCAGGGACAUGAUUUCGACGAGUGAGGCGACCGUGAAAGGAAACAUGGUUUUGAUGCACACUGCCUAUUUGGUGAAAUGCAAGUACUUGGGAUCUCUUUAUUUUCUGUUUCUUUGUAACUUUCUAUGCAAUUUAUUUACCAUGAUGAUUAUAUAGAGUUUGGAGAGUAGGUAUAUGCAAGGGGAAGCUGUCAGAUGUUAGUUUGGAGAGAGGGUAUAUGCAAGGUAAAAUCUUGGAAAAAUAUAUUAUCUAUAUGUCAGGCAUGCCAUGGCAUGGAGGCAAGCAAUGAUACCAUUUAUAGGUGCUUGCAAAGCAACCCUGAAAUGCUAAAAUUCAGAACGGAGGUUUAGAUCACUUGCCAAUAUAGUGAUCAGGACCAGCAUGGCGUUCAGGCGUUUAACUCAAAGAGACUGCGGCCAAUGGGGAUAAUUUCUAGGUUUACAGCCUGUCUACGAGAAAUUGAAAUCUCGAGUCAUACACUUAGUUCACAUAGAAGAGGCACAUGGCCAGUGUUCAGUGUGUACAUUUCUAAGCAGUGGCCUAGAAAUUAUAUUCUCUGAAUGCCUGCUGUGUGCUGUUUAUUCUGCUGCGUAUCUGUGAUAGACAGAUGUAUAAAUAAAUAGCUUUUAUGUUUCCUGCUUUUAUGCUGCUUUCCAUCGCCAUUGAAAGUAAAUGUGAUGGCAUGCUUACAGUA